CCCCACUGAGGAACCCACCCCCCUGCGCCCCCCAAGUGGCCCCACGGCCUCCGGCUCCACCGCGGCCACCGACCCCCCCGCGCCGGGGGGCGCCGAAGGCUUGGCCCAGGAGGAGGAAGAGGAGGAGGAAGACGACGGCGGCGCCGAAGGCUCCUCUUCGCUGGACGAACCCGACACGGCCGAGCUUCGGCGCCGACGGCUCCAGAAACUGGCGGCGCCUCCCUCGGACUCACAAUGACAUCACCAACACCAUUUUGGGGCCGUUUGGGGUGUUUUUUGGACCCUCGGGCACCACCAGCCGGAUGGAUUUAUUAUUUUUUUUUCCUGCCUUUUUCCCCCUUAUUUUCCACCAAAAAAAACCCUUCUGGAAGCAAAAACCGGUCCCCGGCAGCGCCGCCAAAACAUUCCCAGCCCCUUUGCCGCGGCACCAUGGCAAAAAAAAUGAAUUUCUUGA